CCAGGAACUCUUCUGCGCGAGUCAGCGUGAUGUGCGUGCGCGGGCUCAUCAUUUGAAUUAAAUAACGGACACAAGCAACGGGCGGAACGGUAAUCAAAGUGAUGGUCUCCUCGCCAGAGAAGCUAGCAGCAUUCAAUGGGGAAGCUUUGCUAUUUCUUUCGCUGGAAUCUCCAAUUGAAAACAUCAUCGUGUGCGCUUAGACUUCUGUUCCAGUUCUGACUACACCACACUCUGCUUAUGUGGAUCACUGACUACUAUGUUCUCUGAAGUGGGGGAAACCGGAGCACCUGGAGGAAACCCACGCAAACUCCACAC
ensembl:processed_transcript